rnacentral:lncRNA from 1 species
GGACGCCCGCAGGAGCUGGUCCCGCAGUGGGCUGUGUGCUGUGCUCUCUGGGAGGUGAGGCCACCAGGUGCCAGCUCAGGGAAGACAGCCGGUACCCGGAGGAGCCAGUUUCUGCACUGGUCACCAUUUAUUGUGCUUAGCAGUGAGGGAGGAAGCACAUAAAGAAGCUUCUGGAAGAAGACUAUCUGAGUUAGGUCCCAAAUGGCUCCAGUUCAAACCUGCUAGGCAGGAGAUUUCCAUCAAAUCGUCCAGCCUCUGAAGGCCAGCCCCACAACCAGCAGGAAGCAGACACUCACCUGUCAAACCUCAGUGGCAUUAGCUAAGAGGUAAGU